rnacentral:rRNA from 1 species
UACAGAGGGGGCAAGCGUUGUUCGGAAUUACUGGGCGUAAAGGGCGCGUAGGCGGCCUGUUAAGUCGAACGUGAAAUCCCUGGGCUCAACCCAGGAACUGCGUCCGAUACUGGCAGGCUUGAAUUCGGGAGAGGGAUGCGGAAUUCCAGGUGUAGCGGUGAAAUGCGUAGAUAUCUGGAGGAACACCGGUGGCGAAGGCGGCAUCCUGGACCGACAUUGACGCUGAACGGCGAAAGCUAGGGGAGCAAACGGG